AAAAUUGGUAUAAGAUAUACAUUUGUCAAUACAUAUCAAAUAGUACACUUAAGUUGAUAAGGAUGUGGGGGAAAAGGUACACUCAAACAUUGCUGGUGGGACUACAAAUUGGUGCAACCACUAUGGAAAGCAGUAUGGAGAUUCCUUAGAAAACUUGUAAUGGAACCACCAUUAGACCCAGCUAUCUCACUCCUCAGUUUAUAACCAAAGGACUUAAAAUCAGCAUACUACAGUGACACAGCCACAUUAGUGUUUAGAGCAGCUCAAUUCACAAUAGCUAAACUAUGGAACCAACCUAGAUGCCCUUCAACAGAUGAAUGGAUAAAGAAAAUGUGGUCCAUACACACAAUUGUGUAUACUUGUGAUCUUCCUACCUCAACUUUCCAGGUUGCUGGAAUUACAGGUUGUGCCACUGUGCCUAGCUGCAGUGUGACAUUUCAAUAGAUGUACAAUGAUCAGAUCAAAACAAUUAGUAUAUUCAUUAACUCAAAUGUUUAUGAUUUCUUUGUUUUGGAAACAUACGAAAUUCUAUUAACUGUUUUGAAAUGUACACUUAGUUGUUGUCAAGAAUAGUUGCCUUACUGUGCUAUAGAUCAUUAGAAGUUAUACUUCCUAUUCAAUUGUAC
rnacentral:lncRNA from 1 species